rnacentral:rRNA from 1 species
GACAGAGGGUGCAAACGUUGUUCGGAUUUACUGGGCGUAAAGCGCGUGUAGGCGGCCAUCUAAGUCGGGCGUGAAAUCCCACGGCUCAACCGUGGAAGUGCACUCGAAACUGGAUGGCUAGAGUCCUGGAGAGGAAGGUGGAAUGCUUGGUGUAGAGGUGAAAUUCGUAGAUAUCAAGCGGAACACCGGUGGCGAAGGCGGC